rnacentral:rRNA from 1 species
AGCGAACGCUGGCGGCAGGCCUAACACAUGCAAGUCGAACGCUGUAGCAAUACAGAGUGGCAGACGGGUGCGUAACGCGUGAGAAACUUCCAUUUAGUACAGAAUAGCCCAGGGAAACUUGGAUUAAUACUGUAUACGCCCUACGGGGGAAAGAUUUAUCGCUAAAUGAUGUGCCCGCGUAAGAUUAGCUAGUUGGUGAGGUAAUGGCUCACCAAGGCUACGAUCUUUAGCUGGUCUGAGAGGAUGAUCAGCCACACUGGAACUGAGACACGGUCCAGACUCCUACGGGAGGCAGCAGUGGGGAAUAUUGGACAAUGGGGGCAACCCUGAUCCAGCCAUGCCGCGUGAAUGAUGAAGGCCUUCGGGUUGUAAAGUUCUUUUAGCGGGGAAAAUAAUGAUGGUACCCGCAGAAAAAGCACCGGCUAACUUCGUGCCAGCAGCCGCCGUAA